rnacentral:rRNA from 1 species
CUACGGGGUGCUCCAGUGGGGAAUAUUGCACAAUGGGCGCAAGCCUGAUGCAGCAACGCCGCGUGAGCGAUGAAGGCCUUCGGGUCGUAAAGCUCUGUCCUCAAGGAAGAAUAAAUGACGGUACUUGAGGAGGAAGCCCCGGCUAACUACGUGCCAGCAGCCGCGGUAAUACGUAGGGGGCAAGCGUUAUCCGGAAUCACUGGGCGUAAAGGGUGCGUAGGCGGUUAAGCAAGUCAGGAGUGAAAGGCAUUGGCUCAACCAAUGUAAGCUCUUGAAACUGCUUGACUUGAGUGCAGGAGAGGAAAGUGGAAUUCCUAGUGUAGAGGUGAAAUUCGUAGAUAUUAGGAGGAACACCAGUGGCGAAGGCGACUUUCUGGACUGUAACUGACGCUGAGGCACGAAAGCGUGGGGAGCGAACAGGAUUAGAUACCCCUGUAGUC